rnacentral:tRNA from 1 species
GCAGUCGUGGCCGAGUGGUUAAGGCGGUGGACUAGAAAUCCAUUGGGGUCUCCCCGCACAGGUUCAAAUCCUGUCGACUGCG